rnacentral:rRNA from 1 species
GACGAACGCUGGCGGCGUGCUUAACACAUGCAAGUCGAACGGAAAGGCCCUGCUUUUGUGGGGUGCUCGAGUGGCGAACGGGUGAGUAACACGUGAGUAACCUGCCCUUGACUUUGGGAUAACUUCAGGAAACUGGGGCUAAUACCGGAUAGGAGCUCCUGCUGCAUGGUGGGGGUUGGAAAGUUUCGGCGGUUGGGGAUGGACUCGCGGCUUAUCAGCUUGUUGGUGGGGUAGUGGCUUACCAAGGCUUUGACGGGUAGCCGGCCUGAGAGGGUGACCGGCCACAUUGGGACAGAGAUACGGCCCAGACUCCUACGGGAGGCAGCAGUGGGGAAUAUUGCACAAUGGGCGGAAGCCUGAUGCAGCAACGCAGCGUGCGGGAUGACGGCCUUCGGGUUGUAAACCGCUUUCGCCUGUGACGAAGCGUGAGUGACGGUAAUGGGUAAAGAAGCACCGGCUAACUACGUG